AUUGAACGCUGGCGGCAGGCCUAACACAUGCAAGUCGAACGGUAGCACAGAGAGCUUGCUCUCGGGUGACGAGUGGCGGACGGGUGAGUAAUGUUUGGGAAACUGCCCGAUGGAGGGGGAUAACUAGUGGAAACGGUAGCUAAUACCGCAUAACGUCGCAAGACCAAAGAUGGGGACCUUAGGGCCUCUUGCCCUCGGAUGUUCCCAUGUGGAAUUAGCUAGUAGGAGGGGUAACGGCUCACCUAGGCGACGAUCCCUAGCUGGUCUGAGAGGAUGACCAGCCACACUGGAACUGAGACACGGUCCAGACUCCUACGGGAGGCAGCAGUGGGGAAUAUUGCACAAUGGGCGCAAGCCUGAUGCAGCCAUGCCGCGUGUAUGAAGAAGGCCUUCGGGUUGUAAAGUACUUUCAGCGAGGAGGAAGGCGUUGUGGUUAAUAACCGCAGCGAUUGACGUUACUCGCAGAAGAAGCACCGGCUAACUCCGUGCCAGCCGCCGCCGUAACAC
rnacentral:rRNA from 1 species